UCCGAUGGUUGAAUGUGAUUAGGAAUCACAAAUAAUCAAUUAGAUUGAUAAAUGAAAACCCGCUAAGAGUUAGUGGUUAGAAGAAGGAUUAAUUGCAAUCGGAUUGCAAUUUAAUUUAAUUAAUUGAAUUUAAUUUAUUGGACUUGAUCAUGAGUCCUACUUGGAGUGGGAUUCAUGAAGUCCUAAUUAGAUUAGGAUUUCAAAUUAAAUU
rnacentral:lncRNA from 1 species